rnacentral:rRNA from 1 species
CCUACGGGAGGCAGCAGUGAGGAAUAUUGGUCAAUGGUCGGGAGACUGAACCAGCCAAGCCGCGUGAGGGAUGAAGGUACAGAGUAUCGUAAACCUCUUUUGUCAGGGAACAAAGGCGGGGACGCGUCCCCGGAUGAGUGUACCUGAAGAAAAAGCAUCGGCUAACUCCGUGCCAGCAGCCGCGGUAAUACGGAGGAUGUGAGCGUUAUCCGGAUUUAUUGGGUUUAAAGGGUGCGCAGGCGGUCUGUUAAGUCAGCGGUGAAAGCCCGGGGCUCAACCCCGGCCCGCCGUUGAAACUGGCAGUCUCGAGUUGGCGAGAAGUAGGCGGAAUGCGCGGUGUAGCGGUGAAAUGCAUAGAUAUCGCGCAGAACUCCGAUUGCGAAGGCAGCAUGCCGGCUCCACACUGACGCUGAGGCACGAAAGCGUGGGUAUCGAACAGGAGUAGAUACCCGAGUAGUC